CUCAGAACGAACGCUGGCGGCAGGCUAACACAUGCAAGUCGAGCGCGCCCUUCGGGUGAGCGGCGGACGGGUUAGUAACGCGUGGGAACGUACCCUUUGGUAGGGAAUAGCCACUGGAAACGGUGAGUAAUACCCUAUGAGCCCUUCGGGGGAAAGAUUUAUCGCCAAAGGAUCGGCCCGCGUUAGAUUAGGUAGUUGGUGGGGUAAUGGCCUACCAAGCCUACGAUCUAUAGCUGGUUUUAGAGGAUGAUCAGCAACACUGGGACUGAGACACGGCCCAGACUCCUACGGGAGGCAGCAGGUGGGGAAUCUUGGACAAUGGGGGCAACCCUGAUCCAGCCAUGCCGCGUGAGUGAAGAAGGCCUUAGGGUCGUAAAGCUCUUUCGCCUGUGAAGAUAAUGACGGUAGCAGGUAAAGAAACCCCGGCUAACUCCGUGCCAGCCGCGGC
rnacentral:rRNA from 1 species